rnacentral:rRNA from 1 species
UUAAGCGACUAAGCGUACACGGUGGAUGCCCUGGCAGUCAGAGGCGAUGAAGGACGUGCUAAUCUGCGAAAAGCGUCGGUAAGGUGAUAUGAACCGUUAUAACCGGCGAUGUCCGAAUGGGGAAACCCAGUGCAAUUCGUUGCACUAUCGUUAACUGAAUACAUAGGUUAACGAGGCGAACCGGGGGAACUGAAACAUCUAAGUACCCCGAGGAAAAGAAAUCAACCGAGAUUCCCCCAGUAGCGGCGAGCGAACGGGGAGCAGCCCAGAGUCUGAAUCAGCUUGUGUGUUAGUGGAACGGUCUGGAAAGUCCGACGGUACAGGGUGAUAGUCCCGUACACCAAAAUGCACAGGCUGUGAACUCGAAGAGUAGGGCGGGACACGUGGUAUCCUGUCUGAAUAUGGGGGGACCAUCCUCCAAGGCUAAAUACUCCUGACUGACCGAUAGUGAACCAGUACCGUGAGGGAAAGGCGAAAAGAACCCCGGCGAGGGGAGUGAAAAAGAACCUGAAACCGUGUACGUACAAGCAGUGGGAGCACCUUCGGGUGUGACUGCGUACCUUUUGUAUAAUGGGUCAGCGACUUAUAUUCUGUAGCAAGGUUAACCGUAUAGGGGAGCCGCAGGGAAACCGAGUCUUAACUGGGCGUUAAGUUGCAGGGUAUAGACCCGAAACCCGGUGAUCUAGCCAUGGGCAGGUUGAAGGUUGGGUAACACUAACUGGAGGACCGAACCGACUAAUGUUGAAAAAUUAGCGGAUGACUUGUGGCUGGGGGUGAAAGGCCAAUCAAACCGGGAGAUAGCUGGUUCUCCCCGAAAGCUAUUUAGGUAGCGCCUCGUGAACUCAUCUUCGGGGGUAGAGCACUGUUUCGGCUAGGGGGUCAUCCCGACUUACCAACCCGAUGCAAACUACGAAUACCGAAGAAUGUUAUCACGGGAGACACACGGCGGGUGCUAACGUCCGUCGUGAAGAGGGAAACAACCCAGACCGCCAGCUAAGGUCCCAAAGUCAUGGUUAAGUGGGAAACGAUGUGGGAAGGCACAGACAGCCAGGAUGUUGGCUUAGAAGCAGCCAUCAUUUAAAGAAAGCGUAAUAGCUCACUGGUCGAGUCGGCCUGCGCGGAAGAUGUAACGGGGCUAAACCAUGCACCGAAGCUGCGGCAGCGACACUAUGUGUUGUUGGGUAGGGGAGCGUUCUGUAANACACAUGCAAGUCGAGCGGUAGCACAGAGAGCUUGCUCUCGGGUGACGAGCGGCGGACGGGUGAGUAAUGUCUGGGAAACUGCCUGAUGGAGGGGGAUAACUACUGGAAACGGUAGCUAAUACCGCAUAACGUCGCAAGACCAAAGUGGGGGACCUUCGGGCCUCAUGCCAUCAGAUGUGCCCAGAUGGGAUUAGCUAGUAGGUGGGGUAACGGCUCACCUAGGCGACGAUCCCUAGCUGGUCUGAGAGGAUGACCAGCCACACUGGAACUGAGACACGGUCCAGACUCCUACGGGAGGCAGCAGUGGGGAAUAUUGCACAAUGGGCGCAAGCCUGAUGCAGCCAUGCCGCGUGUGUGAAGAAGGCCUUCGGGUUGUAAAGCACUUUCAGCGGGGAGGAAGGCGGUGAGGUUAAUAACCUCAUCGAUUGACGUUACCCGCAGAAGAAGCACCGGCUAACUCCGUGCCAGCAGCCGCGGUAAUACGGAGGGUGCAAGCGUUAAUCGGAAUUACUGGGCGUAAAGCGCACGCAGGCGGUCUGUCAAGUCGGAUGUGAAAUCCCCGGGCUCAACCUGGGAACUGCAUUCGAAACUGGCAGGCUAGAGUCUUGUAGAGGGGGGUAGAAUUCCAGGUGUAGCGGUGAAAUGCGUAGAGAUCUGGAGGAAUACCGGUGGCGAAGGCGGCCCCCUGGACAAAGACUGACGCUCAGGUGCGAAAGCGUGGGGAGCAAACAGGAUUAGAUACCCUGGUAGUCCACGCCGUAAACGAUGUCGAUUUGGAGGUUGUGCCCUUGAGGCGUGGCUUCCGGAGCUAACGCGUUAAAUCGACCGCCUGGGGAGUACGGCCGCAAGGUUAAAACUCAAAUGAAUUGACGGGGGCCCGCACAAGCGGUGGAGCAUGUGGUUUAAUUCGAUGCAACGCGAAGAACCUUACCUGGUCUUGACAUCCACAGAACUUACCAGAGAUGCAUUGGUGCCUUCGGGAACUGUGAGACAGGUGCUGCAUGGCUGUCGUCAGCUCGUGUUGUGAAAUGUUGGGUUAAGUCCCGCAACGAGCGCAACCCUUAUCCUU